GACGAACGCUGGCGGCGUGCUUAACACAUGCAAGUCGAACGGAAAGGCCCUGCUUUUGUGGGGUGCUCGAGUGGCGAACGGGUGAGUAACACGUGAGUAACCUGCCCUUGACUUUGGGAUAACUUCAGGAAACUGGGGCUAAUACCGGAUAGGAGCUCCUGCUGCAUGGUGGGGGUUGGAAAGUUUCGGCGGUUGGGGAUGGACUCGCGGCUUAUCAGCUUGUUGGUGGGGUAGUGGCUUACCAAGGCUUUGACGGGUAGCCGGCCUGAGAGGGUGACCGGCAGGAGAGGGAGUGGGCGAGGGCCGGGAGGCAGACGAGGGGGAGGACGGGGGAAGAGAGUAGAGUGGGAGGGAGCGGCACGGGGCAGCAGCGGGGGGGGGAGGGCGGCCUUGGGGUGGUACGCCGCUGUGGCAGGGGACGAGGCGUGGGGGAAGGGAAGGGGAAAAGGAGCGCCGGCGGACGACGGACCAGCGGAGGGGGGAAUAAGAGGAAGAGCCCGCGUCCGAAC
rnacentral:rRNA from 1 species